rnacentral:rRNA from 1 species
UGCGAAUCUCGAAAGCCUGUCUCAGUUCGGAUUGGAGGCUGAAACCCGCCUCCAUGAAGUUGGAUUCGCUAGUAAUCGCGCAUCAGCCAUGGCGCGGUGAAUACGUUCCCGGGCCCUUGUACACACCGCCCGUCAAGCCAUGGAAGCUGGGGGUGCCUGAAGUUCGUGACCGGAAGGAGCGACCUAGGGCAAAACCGGUGACUGGGGCUAAGUCGUAACAAGGUACC